GACAGAGGGUGCAAACGUUGUUCGGAAUUACUGGGCGUAAAGCGAGUGUAGGCGGUUUGGUAAGUCGGAUGUGAAAGCCCCGGGCUCAACCCGGGAAGUGCACUCGAUACUGCCAAGCUAGAGUAUCGGAGAGGUUGGUGGAAUUCUCGGUGUGGAGGUGAAAUUCGUAGAUAUCGAGAGGACCACCUGCGGCGAAGGCGGGUUGCUGGGCCGACACUGACGCUGAUGCGCGAAAGCCAGGGGAGCGAACGGG
rnacentral:rRNA from 1 species